GUUAGAUGUCGUGGUCGGCUAUGGAGCAUGCGCACUGGGAGGGAUAGCCGGAAUGAAACGGUCCUCCAUGAGAGCCACAAGCGAACAUUCAACAACUUGAAAACUGGAUUGAAAAUGAGAGAGAGAGAGCAGCCACUCCAAAAGCUUCCAAAAUCUCACUGUACCUUCUUGACCUGCAAUCCACGUGGUGAAGUACCUCCCAUGUUACUGUUUGGAUGCGAAAUUCCCUGGAUU